rnacentral:lncRNA from 1 species
CUGAAACACUGCUAGUAGUCUAGGGAGGAAGAGUAAGGCCUGAAGUAGAAAAAAUGAUGCUUUUGCCUAAAAUGAUAAUUGCUUCGUUAAUAAAACAUGUACUAAGUGCUAGAUAUUGUUUAGAGCAUUUGCAAUGAAUGAAUUUACUUCCUUAAUGACUUUAGGAGGUUUGGAUACUGCUAGUACUUAAAUUUUAUGAGACGGAUAGGUCCAAAGAGUUUCUUGAAUUCACUGCAUUUAAGUCACUAGGUUAACCUGUGCUUGGUGAGAUUAGGUGAGUAAGAUUCUGGUGGUUUCCUAGAGAUGCACUGUGGUAGUCUUCAUCUCUGAAGUAGGGUGUAAGGGGUUGCUCUGACCUCUGCUGUUUUUAAACGAUGUGUAAACAGUUUGCAUAGUUUCUUCGAAUGCCUUUUACAGCCGAGUUCAGUGAAGUACACAGAGAGGCUGGAAGCUAGUCAUAAAGGGCAGUCACUACUGUGAAAAGGUACUGAAGCACGUCAGAACAGAGGAGUAACAUGAGCAAAUGUGAAUGCAGAGAAGAUCAUGGAUGGAUAAAAAGGGGACCAGAAGGACUGCAGUCUCAUAAAGUUCCCAGCGUGAGGCAUAGAAUAAUAUGCCUGUGUGGUAGGAAUGCUGGCAAGACACAGUGGUCCCAUUCGAAAUGUUCCUAAAAGGAACAAAACACAAAGGGCUGUUUUUUAUCCCAGUCAGAACUUGUGUUGUUUCUUAACAAGUGAUUCAAAGGAAGUCAAGCAUAUACACUGCUUACAGUAGGAAACAAGCCUAACGUUAGCCAUUACUAACAAAAUAGGCUGUAGAAGCCAAAUCAUCUCUAAACCCUGUGACACUACCAAAGAGAUACAGAGUGUUAAUUUUUUUAAAUGAAGCUUUCUAUUUGUAAAUGUAAACCUCACAAAAGGAAGAUGUAACAUUGGAAUAAAAUACCAGUGUCCUUCCCAGAAAAGACUAGAUGGUUGUAACCGAAGUCAUCCACGCUUGGGCUAGAUGUACAAGACACCCAAACUCGAAGCUACCCCAGCGCUUGCAGAGUUCUGUACUCCCUGUCCCCUUCCGUCAGCUGACUGGGCCCAAGGAAAGAGCAGGCACAGGAAGCAGUGGGGAUUAGUAGAGCAGAUGUAGGGAUUGGGAGUUCAGGUUGAAAUGGCAAAUGACUUGCAUAUUGGGAGAAAGAAAGUGUGAAAAUGGCAGUCUACUAAAUUACCUAUUUCAAGAUGGACUUUCUUACCUUAACCUCUGAAAUAAGACUGUAUUUUAUCAAAUAAAAUUGACUUCGUCUCAAAAUUAAUCGAAAGCAUAAAGAUGAGUUGCCAAGCCUGGUCCCUGGUUACUGACUCUGCACUGUAGUCCUUAACUUUCCUGUCCUAACAGAUUACAGGCAAGAGCACACUUGAGAACCACACAUGGCUUCUUAGCAAUGUUGCAGGCAGCUGUGGAAGCCUUGAUGCACCGGACAUCCAUCCCCACACUGGCUGAAGCACUCUAUGAGCCUGUCUCCUACCUGUGUUUUAUACCUGAACUGAGGCAUGUAAUUAAAGUUGUGAUCUUUUUUUAUUAUGCUCGGAACUUUUCUCUCCUUUUUUGUGUCCCCCUAUAUUCAUAUUAUUUUUCUAGGUAUUUAUAUAAUAAAUGUAUGAAAAUACAAUUUUUCUUAUGAAACUAGGAUAACUUUUAUAAACACUUAUAGAAUUUUGUCUCUGCAGUGUCUCACGGAAAUUAUUUAGCCUUGUCUCGCUCUGUUAUUCAUGCUAGUCUUCUUGCCUAUGCUAUGGACACUUUCAUACAAUCUCAGCCCUUACUCUUUGAUCAUGAUAACAUGUCUAGAGAUGCAAAGAAGAAGGAGGGGAGCUCGGCUUGUUUGUUGUUGCUUCUCCGUCUUCAGAGUGGGAAGCAAA